GAUGAACGCUAGCGGCAGGCUUAAUACAUGCAAGUCGAGGGGCAGCACGGGUAGCAAUACCUGGUGGCGACCGGCAAACGGGUGCGGAACACGUACGCAACCUUCCCGAAACUGGUGAAUAGCCCUCCGAAAGGAGGAUUAAUACACCGUAAGAUAAUGGAGUGGCAUCACUCUAUUAUUAUAGCUACGGCGGUUUUGGAUGGGCGUGCGCCUGAUUAGGUAGUUGGCGGGGUAACGGCCCACCAAGCCUGCGAUCAGUAACUGGUGUGAGAGCACGACCAGUCACACGGGCACUGAGACACGGGCCCGACUCCUACGGGAGGCAGCAGUAAGGAAUAUUGGUCAAUGGACGCAAGUCUGAACCAGCCAUGCCGCGUGAAGGAUGAAGGCCCUCUGGGUUGUAAACUUCUUUUAUCUGGGACGAAAAGGAAGUACUUUCCUACCUACGUACGGUACCGUACAGGAAGUAAGUACGACCGGACCGUACUACCGUUCGUCCGACCGACGACGACCGCCGGUAACGUAACUAGUCGGU
rnacentral:rRNA from 1 species